rnacentral:tRNA from 1 species
GCGGGCGUGGCGGAACCGGCAGACGCGACGGGUUUAGGUCCCGUUGGGCGAAAGCUCGUGGAGGUUCGAAUCCUCUCGUCCGCA